CACGUAGGGGGCGAGCGUUGUCCGGAUUUAUUGGGCGUAAAGCGUGCGUAGGCGGUUCGUUAAGUCAGCUGUGAAAGCCCCGGGCUCAACCUGGGAACUGCGGUUGAAACUGGCGAACUAGAAUCUGGCAGAGGGGGGUGGAAUUCCACGUGUAGCAGUGAAAUGCGUAGAGAUGUGGAGGAACACCGAUGGCGAAGGCAGCCCCCUGGGCUGAGAUUGACGCUCAGGCACGAAAGCGUGGGGAGCAAACAGG
rnacentral:rRNA from 1 species